UAGUGAUUAACGCGAAGAACCUUACCUGGGCUAGACAACGGCGGACCGUCCUAGAAAUAGGACUUUCCCUUCGGGGACCGCCGGUUCAGGUGCUGCAUGGCUGUCGUCAGCUCGUGCCGUGAGGUGUUGGGUUAAGUCCCGCAACGAGCGCAACCCUCGUCCUUAGUUGCCACCAUUCAGUUGGGCACUCUAGGGAGACUGCCGGCGUUAAGCCGGAGGAAGGUGGGGACGACGUCAAGUCAUCAUGGCCCUUAUGUCCAGGGCCACACACGUGCUACAAUGGGCGGUACAAAGGGUCGCAAACCCGCGAGGGGGAGCCAAUCCCAAAAAGCCGCUCUCAGUUCGGAUUGGAGUCUGCAACUCGACUCCAUGAAGCUGGAAUCGCUAGUAAUCGCGGAUCAGCACGCCGCGGUGAAUACGUUCCCGGGCCUUGUCACACCGAAUCGAAUUC
rnacentral:rRNA from 1 species